UCAUUGAGAAGCCUGAUACAUUUUUUUGAAGAAAUUGAAGGGUUCAAAGCUGGCUAGCCAACAGGACACUCCAGCUGGGAAUAACAGAAUAGGACUCUAGGCCUUUUUUUGUUGUUUUUUGGAAGCAGGGUCAUAAUUAAGAGCAAUGGCUGGGGACAUUCAUAUUGUGACACUUGAAUUGAAAUUCUUGGACCAGUCCAAGGUGGCCUAAAACAAAAGCAUUUGCCAAGAAUGUUGUCAUU
rnacentral:ncRNA from 1 species